GAUGAACGCUGGCGGCGUGCCUAAUACAUGCAAGUCGAGCGAACGGACGAGAAGCUUGCUUCUCUGAUGUUAGCGGCGGACGGGUGAGUAACGCGUGGAUAACCUACCUAUAAGACUGGGAUAACUUCGGGAAACCGGAGCUAAUACCGGAUAAUAUUUUGAACCGCAUGGUUCAAAAGUGAAAGACGGUCUUGCUGUCACUUAUAGAUGGAUCCGCGCUGCAUUAGCUAGUUGGUAAGGUAACGGCUUACCAAGGCAACGAUGCAUAGCCGACCUGAGAGGGUGAUCGGCCACACUGGAACUGAGACACGGUCCAGACUCCUACGGGAGGCAGCAGUAGGGAAUCUUCCGCAAUGGGCGAAAGCCUGACGGAGCAACGCCGCGUGAGUGAUGAAGGUCUUCGGAUCGUAAAACUCUGUUAUUAGGGAAGAACAUAUAUGUAAGUAACUGUGCACAUCUUGACGGUACCUAAUCAGAAAGCCACGGCUAACUACGUGCCAGCAGCCGCGGUAAUACGUAGGUGGCAAGCGUUAUCCGGAAUUAUUGGGCGUAAAGCGCGCGUAGGCGGUUUUUUAAGUCUGAUGUGAAAGCCCACGGCUCACCCGUGGAGGGUCAUUGGAAACUGGAAAACUUGAGUGCAGAAGAGGAAAGUGGAAUUCCAUGUGUAGCGGUGAAAUGCGCAGAGAUAUGGAGGAACACCAGUGGCGAAGGCGACUUUCUGGUCUGUAACUGACGCUGAUGUGCGAAAGCGUGGGGAUCAAACAGGAUUAGAUACCCUGGUAGUCCACGCCGUAAACGAUGAGUGCUAAGUGUUAGGGGGUUUCCGCCCCUUAGUGCUGCAGCUAACGCAUUAAGCACUCCGCCUGGGGAGUACGACCGCAAGGUUGAAACUCAAAGGAAUUGACGGGGACCCGCACAAGCGGUGGAGCAUGUGGUUUAAUUCGAAGCAACGCGAAGAACCUUACCAAAUCUUGACAUCCUUUGACAACUCUAGAGAUAGAGCUUUCCCCUUCGGGGGACAAAGUGACAGGUGGUGCAUGGUUGUCGUCAGCUCGUGUCGUGAGAUGUUGGGUUAAGUCCCGCAACGAGCGCAACCCUUAAGCUUAGUUGCCAUCAUUAAGUUGGGCACUCUAAGUUGACUGCCGGUGACAAACCGGAGGAAGGUGGGGAUGACGUCAAAUCAUCAUGCCCCUUAUGAUUUGGGCUACACACGUGCUACAAUGGACAAUACAAAGGGCAGCGAAACCGCGAGGUCUAGCAAAUCCCAUAAAGUUGUUCUCAGUUCGGAUUGUAAUCUGCAACUCGACUACAUGAAGCUGGAAUCGCUAGUAAUCCGUAGAUUCAGCAUGCUACGGUGAAUACUUUCCCGGGUCU
rnacentral:rRNA from 1 species